UUUAAAUAUGAACUAGUAUCGUGGAGGCUGUGGGGAGAGAUGGAGAAAGUGCAGGAGGCGGAGAUGACUGGCCAUCUGGAGAAUUUCUUAACCAUGGAUACGGAAAGCAAAUGACCAAAUCAUCAACACUGACCUGGAACAGUUGUCCCUGAGGAAAAGAUAACUGUAAGGCGAACAUAUAUUCUGGCAUCCAGGUAAGUC
rnacentral:lncRNA from 1 species